GAAAAGCUCUUAAACUGUAUAUUCAAAAUAAUGCCCACCUGAAGACCUUACUCAAAAUCUCCCGUCAAAGUGGAGUUACUUACUUCCUUGCUCUUCUCGUGUCUUCAGGGAUCAUCAUCAUCAUCGAAAGUUCAUGUCAUAAAAUGAAUCUCGAUUAGAACUCAUUGACUAAUUCUCAGGCUUUAUCUCAUACUCUAUCUCAUAUUCUAUCCCUUUACUCAACUCUAUAUAAACUCUCCACUCAUCUCACAUCCUCAAGUUCAAGGAUAGGUUUCAAGAAAAUCAUGGCUCUAAGUCUCGAUUUAUCUCUCAUAUAAGGUUCGUCUAAUCUCAUUCAAACACAUAG
rnacentral:lncRNA from 1 species